GUAAAACCAGCAGCAUCACUAAACAUGACUCUGGUGUGUACUGGUGUGAGUCCACAUCUGGAUCCUCCCCCAGCAGCAGCAGCAGCAUCCAGCUCUCUGUCUCUGGUGGAUCAGUGAUCCUGCAGAGUCCUGUCCUCCCUGUGAUGGAGGGAGAUGACGUCACUCUGAGCUGCAGAGCAAAGAGUCCAGCCCACAACCUCCCAGCUGCUUUCU